rnacentral:rRNA from 1 species
GCGAUCCCAGGUCAGGCGGGGCCACCCGCUGAGUUUAAGCAUAUCAAUAAGCGGAGGAAAAGAAACUAACGAGGAUUCCCUUAGUAGCGGCGAGCGAACCGGGAGGAGCCCAGCAUGAAAAUCGUUCGCCGUCGGCGGCCGAAUUGUAGUCUGGAGAAGCGUCCUCAGUGACGGACCGGGC